rnacentral:rRNA from 1 species
CCUACGGGAGGCAGCAGUGGGGAAUUUUGGACAAUGGGCGCAAGCCUGAUCCAGCAAUGCCGCGUGAGUGAAGAAGGCCUUCGGGUUGUAAAGCUCUUUUGUCAGGGAAGAAACGGCUGAGGUUAAUACCUUCGGCUAAUGACGGUACCUGAAGAAUAAGCACCGGCUAACUACGUGCCAGCAGCCGCGGUAAUACGUAGGGUGCAAGCGUUAAUCGGAAUUACUGGGCGUAAAGCGUGCGCAGGCGGUUUUGUAAGUCUGACGUGAAAUCCCCGGGCUCAACCUCGGGAAUUGCGUUGGAGACUGCAAGGCUGGAGUCUGGCAGAGGGGGGUAGAAUUCCACGUGUAGCAGUGAAAUGCGUAGAGAUGUGGAGGAACACCGAUGGCGAAGGCAGCCCCCUGGGUCAAGACUGACGCUCAUGCACGAAAGCGUGGGGAGCAAACAGGAUUAGAUACCCUGGUAGUCCACGCCCUAAACGAUGUCUACUAGUUGUCGGGUCUUAAUUGACUUGGUAACGCAGCUAACGCGUGAAGUAGACCGCCUGGGGAGUACGGUCGCAAGNUUAAAACUUNAAAGAUUGAGGCUUGAGACGNGCGAGCGACGACGAGGAGAGG